rnacentral:lncRNA from 1 species
GAAAAGGCCUUUGAUAAAAUUCAAAUGGGAUCGAAUUAAACUAAAGAGCUUCUGCACAGCAAAAGAAACUACCAUCAGAGUGAACAGGCAACCUACAACAUGGGAGAAAAUUUUCGCAACCUACUCAUCUGACAAAGGGCUAAUAUCCAGAAUCUACAAUGAACUCAAACAAAUUUACAAGAAAAAAAACAAACAACCCCAUCAAAAAGUGGGCGAAGGACAUGAACAGACACUUCUCAAAAGAAGACAUUUAUGCAGCCAAAAAACACAUGAAAAAAUGCUCACCAUCACUGGCCAUCAGAGAAAUGCAAAUCAAAACCACUAUGAGAUAUCAUCUCACACCAGUUAGAAUGGCAAUCAUUAAAAAGUCAGGAAACAACAGGUGCUGGAGAGGAUGUGGAGAAAUAGGAACACUUCUACACUGUUGGUGGGACUGUAAACUAGUUCAACCAUUGUGGAAGUCAGUGUGGCGAUUCCUCAGGGAUCUAGAACUAGAAAUACCAUUUGACCCAGCCAUCCCAUUACUGGGUAUAUACCCAAAGGACUA